rnacentral:rRNA from 1 species
CGGACGGGUGAGUAACGCGUGAGAAUCUACCUUUUGCUACGGAAUAGCUCCGGGAAACUGGAAUUAAUACCGUAUGUGCUCUUUGGCGGUGGACGCUGGAGAGGAAAGAUUUAUUGGCAAAGGAUGAGCCCGCGUUGGAUUAGCUAGUUGGUGGGGUAAAGGCCUACCAAGGCGACGAUCCAUAGCUGGUCUGAGAGGAUGAUCAGCCACAUUGGGACUGAGACACGGCCCAAACUCCUACGGGAGGCAGCAGUGGGGAAUAUUGGACAAUGGGCGCAAGCCUGAUCCAGCCAUGCCGCGUGUGUGAUGAAGGCCUUAGGGUUGUAAAGCACUUUCACCGGUGAAGAUAAUGACGGUGACCGGAGAAGAAGCCCCGGCUAACUUCGUGCCAGCAGCCGCGGUAAUACGAAGGGGGCUAGCGUUGUUCGGAAUUACUGGGCGUAAAGCGCACGUAGGCGGAUAUUUAAGUCAGGGGUGAAAUCCCAGAGCUCAACUCUGGAACUGCCUUUGAUACUGGGUAUCUUGAGUAUGGAAGAGGUUAGUGGAAUUCCGAGUGUAGAGGUGAAAUUCGUAGAUAUUCGGAGGAACACCAGUGGCGAAGGCGGCUCACUGGUCCAUAACUGACGCUGAGGUGCGAAAGCGUGGGGAGCAAAUGGGAUUAGGUACCCCAGUAGUC